CCCCCCCCCCCUCCCUUAAAAUACUUAGAUGCACUAUUGUAAAGUGGCUGUUCCACUGGAUGUCAUAAGGUGAAAGCACCAAUUUGUAAGUCGCUCUGGAUAAGAGCGUCUGCUAAAUGACUUAAAUGUAAAUGUGAUAGCAGAAUCAGUCAGGUGUCUGGCAGUCAGCCAUUUUCUGAUCAUGUUUAUUCCUCGUGGUAGUCACUUGCGUUCCAUUGCUCACGAAGACUAGAAGGAGUACUCCGGUUGGAACUUUAUUGAAGCUAUAUGUUAAAAACAUCCUAAUGAUUGAUUCUGUACUUAGUUUGAAAUGUUUCUUCGACCGGUAAUAUCACUUUUUGAAGUUUUCGUCCGAUAUAACGCUGACCAGAAUUAGCGUUUGGAUAUGUAUACCAAACGAGCUAACAAAAGAAGGUAUUUGCACAUGAAUAACGGACAUUUUCGAACAAAACAAACAUUUAUUGUGGACCUGGGAUUCCUGGAGUGCUUUCUGAUGUAGAUCAUCAAAGGUAAGGGAAUAUUUAUCAUGUAAUUUCUUGUUUAUGUUCACGCCAUCUUUGCGGCUGUGGUGUUUUUACUUUUGAGCGCCGUCUCAGAUUAUUGCAUGCGUUUCUUUUUCCUUUUUUUUCUUUUUUAUAUCUGACACAGCGGUUGCAUUAAGGAGAGGUAUAUCUAUAAUUCCAUGUAAAUAACUUGUAUUAUCAUCUACAUUUAUGAUGAGUAUUUCUGUUGAAUGAUGUGGCUAUGCAAAAUCACUGGAUGUUUUUGGAUCUAGUGAAUCUAAUACGCCAAUGUAAAUUCAGAUUUUCUGAUAUAAAUAUGAACUUUAUCAAACAAAACAUGCAUGUAUUGUGUAACAUGAAGUCCUAUGAGUGUCAUCUGAUGAAGAUUAUCAAAGGUUAGUGAUUCAUUUUAUCUUUAUAUGUGCUUUUUCUCUCUCUCUCUUUGGCUGGUAAAAUUGGCUGUGUAUUUUAGUGAGUUGUUGGUGACCUAACAUAAUCGUUUGUGGUGCUUUCCCCGUAAAUCCUAUUUGAAAUCGGACACUGUGGUGGGAUUAACAACAAGACGAUCUAAGAAACUAUAUGUUUGAGGAAUUUUAAUUAUGAGAUUUCUGUUCUUUUGAAUAUGGCGCUCUGUACUAUCACUGGUUGUUGUUAUAUCGCUGCCGGUUACGGGAUCUCAGCCAGAAGUUAAAAACUGUAAUAUCUUAUGUUUCACAGAGUCGUGGCUGAACAACGACAUGAAUAACAUACAGCUGGCGGGUUAAACACUGUAUCGGCAGGAUAAAACAGCAGCCUCUGAAUCCUCAACCUGAGUCCUCUUCAAACCUCUCUUCAUGGGUCCGAAACAAUGAUUCAUAGCGUGCAGAGAUCCUAUGGGCAAUGAUGUGUCUUCUCCCACUACUCCUGCAAAAGUGCGGAGGACAAUGCCACAAUUUUCACCUGGAUGUUUCCGGACAGUGCUAUAUCCAAGUCAUAUGCCUGUGGGGAGAAGACAGCCUACAUGAUCAGUCAUGGUCUUGUACAUUACUUUCGGCCCCACCUCCUGGACAAGUUGCAGAAGAAUGAAGGUUAUAUGCUGCUUUUUGACGAAUCGCUCAACAAACCACAUCAGCUUAAACAAAUGGAUGUCCACAUAAGAUUUUUUGACCCCACAACCAACAAGGUUACCAUGCACUAUCUGGACUCACCCUUCAUGGGACAUGACACAGCUAAGGACUGUCUUUCUCACUUCACAGAGUUGAGAGAGAAACUUAACAUGUCCCAUUACUCUACAAAUUUGAUUGAUGGACCAAAUGUUAAUCACAAGUUUUACGAGAAUUCACAUCUGUCCUUGCAGAAGCCACAGAUUUAGAGCUAAUUGACACUGGAACAUGUUCCUUGCAGUGUCCAUAAAGCGUUUCGAAAUGCAUUUGACUUCAUAAACUGGGGUGUAAAGGGCACUUUAAAUACUUUCUAUAGACUGAUGAUGCAUGACGUUCCAUCAAGACGGGAUGAUAUUAUGACAAUCUCAGGUUCCUUAGUUUUCCCUAAAGUUUUGUUGACAUUGCUGGGUAGAAAACAGAAGUUGCAACUAGAGCCUGAGAGGAUUUGCCAAACCCAGUAACAAUUGUACAAAUGGUCGAAAGCGAUAAAUCCUACAGAACACCGACAUGCAUUACAUUCACAGCUGUAAAAGAAGCAAUAGCAGACCAACUUCUCCCAGCAACCAGUUUGGUACCUUAAAAGCUACCAAACUGAGAGUCCCAUAAUCACAUUCCUGACAGGAGACUGGGCAGACUUAUUUACAUUUACAUUUAAGUCAUUUAGCAGACGCUCUUAUCCAGAGCGACUUACAAAUUAUUGACCAAUGUCAUGAGUAGAGUCUUGAAGAAAGAGGUGAGACACAUUGACACAGCCCCCAAAACUCUCAAAAUGCUCUGUGACAGAGGUUGAUGUCGUGGACAUUGGGAUUUCUACAUGUAAGUUGCUAAAACAAGUAGCUAGCAAAGUGAGAGGAUGACUUUUUUUGUUUAAGUGACACAAAGUACCUCUUUCAGUUGUUGAGGCUCAAAACCACAAUCAAGACCAGUUUUGUGAGACAGGCUGCUUGUCCCGACCCACAACAGAUGGCAUGGAAUCUUUCAUUUUCAGAGCAAAUUCAAACAUCUUUUCACACGCUUCAUUGACCUGAAGCGUUUUCCUCAGACAUGAUGUCACGAUGCCCAAAUGCAGGUGGAGUGUUUCAUACAGCAGGUGUUGAGACAUCACAGACAUCGCGAGUAUGAUCUGCAGAGGACUGCUCAGCUCCUUAUUUUUUAGAGCAUCUGAAGGGUAAGGAGAACUACGGAGACCUGUGACAAGUAAAUUGUCAAAUUGUCUUUGUGAUCUUCCACGGACAGGCCUCAGUAGAAACGGGGUUUGCAGUCAACUCCGCUCUCACUGUUGUCAACAAAAAGGAGCAGUGCUACACAGCACAGAGACUGGUGUAUGACACUAGAGAAUUUGGGUAGACCUCACCAAUUACAUCCUCCUCCAAGGCAGAAAUAUCAAGACUACCUAGAUGCACAGCAGAACCACAUGAUGGCAGAGAAAAGAAAAGAGGAAGAACAAAGACAUGAAAGAAAGAGACGCCUGGAAAAGGACAUAGAACUCCUGCAUUAAGAAAUGGAAAAGGUAGUUGCAGAGGCAGACCUCAAAGUCCAUAGAAUGUAUAAUCAAGUUUAGCAGCUUCUGAAGAUUAAAGGUUGAGCUUGGACUUUUGUGAGCACACUCUAGUAUAAAUGUAUUAACUUUAUUGACAUGGAUAAAAAAGAAGAAGAAUGUAUUCAGAGAGAGAAAGGUCUGAAGGAUCUAUCAGGUGAGCGGUGAAGUUGAUCUUUCCAAUGUCCACACUCUAUUCUCGCCUUCAUCCACCAUUUGCUUUCAAAGUCUUUCAACCAUUAUGACUAUUAGCUAAACAGCUUGUUGCAUAGUCUCAUCCCUCUGAUCUACUGUUCAGACUGCCACCUGUUAUACUUUAUAUACAAUGUCAAGAAUACAUCUGAACAUCCUUCUCUCUUCCCCUCUCUCGCUCCUCUUCAAUUAAUUGUAUUGACAUGGACCUUUUUUAGAUUGUUGCAAAUGGUUAAACAUAACAUUUUGGUCUGUCACUAGUGCUGAGCAAUUAGUGCUUUUUGAGGUUGGUUCGGUUUUAGUCAGAUAAUAAAUAUACAUUAAAUGCGCUAUGCAUUAUGUGGGUUGAAUGCUGUAACAACACUGAAUAAAACAAUUCAUAAAAGGCCCAUGAUGGUAGUGGCUGCCGAUUUACUGGCUAUCACUUAUUAACGAUCGUUAUUCACAUGUAAAAUAAUGUAUAAAAAAAAUAUUUUGAUAACUUCGUUAUUUCAUUCCAAGUCAUCUCAUCUCUUUAGAGCUGCUGCCUAUGUUGUUCUUCAAAGUAAAUGAGGAAUACUUUUAUGAUUGUUGAAUACCAACUAUCAAUCACUUAGAUCAUGUAUUUUCAGGCUCACGAAGCAACUGCUUUCUAUCUUCGAUUGAGCAUUCUCUCUACUCUUAGUCUGUAUGCUCCGCACCGACCAGACAAAUUUAAGCGGGCUCGCAAUGGAUUAUGGUCAAUGUAGUUAAGUACCAUGUUUUCUGUACUAAACAUUGUAGAACAUUGGCCUUUUGGAAACUACAACUCCCAUCUACAUCGCACAGUUCAGGCUUCAUCUGAUUUAUCUGUACAGAAAAUGCACAUUGUGCUCACAGAAAACCCUCGAAAUAAAUGGAAUUCCAGUAACUGAA